rnacentral:rRNA from 1 species
GAUGAACGCUGGCGGCGUGCCUAAUACAUGCGAGUCGAGCGAACAGAUGAGGAGCUUGCUCCUCUGACGUUAGCGGCGGACGGGUGAGUAACACGUGGAUAACCUACCUAUAAGACUGGGAUAACUUCGGGAAACCGGAGCUAAUACCGGAUAAUAUAUUGAACCGCAUGGUUCAAUAGUGAAAGACGGUUUUGCUGUCACUUAUAGAUGGAUCCGCGCCGCAUUAGCUAGUUGGUAAGGUAACGGCUUACCAAGGCAACGAUGCGUAGCCGACCUGAGAGGGUGAUCGGCCACACUGGAACUGAGACACGGUCCAGACUCCUACGGGAGGCAGCAGUAGGGAAUCUUCCGCAAUGGGCGAAAGCCUGACGGAGCAACGCCGCGUGAGUGAUGAAGGUCUUCGGAUCGUAAAACUCUGUUAUUAGGGAAGAACAAACGUGUAAGUAACUAUGCACGUCUUGACGGUACCUAAUCAGAAAGCCACGGCUAACUACGUG